AGCUGAGCAUAGCUCCCUUUU
rnacentral:snRNA from 1 species